rnacentral:rRNA from 1 species
CCUACGGGAGGCUGCAGUAGGGAAUCUUCCACAAUGGGCGAAAGCCUGCUGGAGCAACGCCGCGUGGGUGAAGAAGGUCUUCGGAUCGUAAAACCCUGUUGUUAGAGAAGAAAGUGCGUGAGAGUAACUAUUCACGUGUCGACGGUAUCGAACCAGAAAGCCACGGCUAACUACGUGCCAGCAGCCGCGGUAAUACGUAGGUGGCAAGCGUUAGCCGGAUUUAGUGGGCGUAAAGGGAACGCAGGCGGUCUUUUAAGUCUGAUGUGAAAGCCUUCGGCUUAACCGGAGUCGUGCAUUGGAAACUGGGAGCCUUGAGUGCAGCUGUGGAGAGUGGAACUCCAUGUGUAGCGGUGAAAUGCUUAGAUAUCUGG